AAUUCAUGCAUCAGGCAUUUCUGAAGCAAUUCCUUAAAUCUUUCUCAAGCUUCAUACAACGUGUCAUCCUCUGGUUGUCGAAAAGAUGUGAUGUCAUUUCUAAGCUU
rfam:Gossypium raimondii chromosome 6, whole genome shotgun sequence.